UCGAGGAUCUUCCCCAAUGGACGCAAGUCUGAGGGAGCGACGCCGCGUGCGGGAUGAAGGCCUUCGGGUUGUAAACCGCUUUAGGGGGGAGGAAGCCGCAAGGUUGACCUAUCCCCAAAAUAAGCACGGGCUAAGUUCGUGCCAGCAGCCGCGGUAAGACGAACCGUGCGAACGUUGUUCGGAAUCACUGGGCUUAAAGGGCGCGUAGGCGGUCUGCCAAGUCGGUGGUGAAAUCUUUCGGCUCAACCGGAAAACUGCCUUCGAUACUGGCAGGCUGGAGGGAGGUAGGGGUUGCGGGAACUACCAGUGGAGCGGUGAAAUGCGUUGAUAUUGGUAGGAACGCCGGUGGCGAAAGCGCGCAACUGGACCUCUUCUGACGCUGAGGCGCGAAAGCUAGGGGAGCAAACGGGAUUAGAUACCCCGGUAGUCCUAGCCUUAAACGAUGAGAACUAGGUUGUGGACUUGACAUGGGUUCACAGCCGAAGCAAAAGUGCUAAGUCUCCGCCUGGGGAGUAUGGUCGCAAGG
rnacentral:rRNA from 1 species